rnacentral:lncRNA from 1 species
GAAACACUCCACUCCAUUCAAAUGUCUUGCUUUCACCUGCCGAUCCCAUUGUGAAGAAAGGUGCAGCAUGCCUUCCAAUAUUUCUCCUAGAACAGCUCAAGUGAGGUGAAACAGUGGAAAGUCAGCCCUGCUGAUUUGAAUCAUGCCACCCCACCUUACCAGCGCCCCAAAUGUCAGCCUUCUUCCCACUCAGAUGUGGUUGUCCUUGGAAAGACCCAGAACAGACGUUUCAUCACCAAGUGGUACUAGACAAAAACGGAAGGUAUAAGCAAAGCAGACAUAAGUACUUAUCAAGAAGCAGAGCAACCAGGAGACAACGGAAGGAAAGAGGCCCUGGUCUCCUCGGGAACUGUGUUACUGACAGAACAAGGAACAGCUUUGGCUGGAGAUGUUUAUGCUGACUUUGGAGUAUGGAUCAGAAGAGGGUCCUGGCUUGCUGAUGGAGCUCAGGCCUAUGGAAAACAGGAUGAUCUUAGAGUUAAAAACAAACAACCCUGGGUGUGGUCUCAGGGCCUGGGAGGAAAGGAUGAGUCAGCUGAAACUGAUGGAAAUUAACGAAUCUCUCAAGAGAUGCUGCCAUUUCCUGAGCACCUGUGAGCUCAUCUUAUCCUCACAACUGAAAGUGCUUUUUCCGACGUCAGACAUGGAAAAAUAUGGCACCUAAAAGAGGAUGUCACUUUGACAACCAAUACUCCCCCAGCCCA